CAACGCGAUUUGCCCUUUCUCUUUCCCGUCCCCCCAAACUCGGCGGCGGCACAUCUCCUCUCCGGCGCCAUAUCUGCCGGUGGCAUCGAGCGCUACCGGCGGGGCGGCAGGUUAAUUCGAUGCAACCCAUGGCUGUGGUGCCUCGGGUGGAGUCGCAAGCUUCGAUGAGAGUCGCAGAUGGCCAGAUUUGUCGCGUUGCCGAUCUAGCAGUGCCCAACUCCGGUGAUUUCCAGUUGGACUGAAACGGGGGAUUUAAGGUGUGCUCUGAAGCUACGAGCAGAUGGACAAGAAGGUAUGUAGUGCUAAACUUGAAUUUGAUUUGUUCUACGGGCCAAGAAAAAUUGUGUGUAGUUUGUCCUGCAAGUAGUGAUUCUCAUGUCAGUUAUGUGAAUGCAUGUUUGACUGUUUCGAUUCAUGUAUGUGCUGCCAUGACUGAAUUCAUAUGUUCUUUUUUUUGUCCUUUUCAGCUAUUAAUGAGCUUGACUAAAUGGAUUUGCAAUUGUUGUUUGUUUUGGUCAGUAGUGCGUUAUUGUUUGUUCCUAGUUCCGGGAAUUCCGCUAAAUAAGUAACUCUGCUGACAUUUUGUGAAGAACACCGCAUGAAGUGUGUUCAUGCCUUUCGUGCGACUGAACCAUAAGCAAAGUUUACCCAAUUUUCUCGUAAUUAAUAUGUUCAUUUCGGUAGAUAGCUAAGCUGUCUGGAGAAAUAAAUAAUCCCCUUUGCCAAGUUCUUAUAAAUUAAAUUAGCUGUAAAUGGUAAAAUUUUCAGCAAGUGCGCCUGCAUUGGCCAGGUUUUGGACAAUUAGCUGAUUACCUUUUGAUUGCCAUGUUAUAUCUCAUGCUACAACAAAUGUGUUUUAGUUUUUGCUUCUGUUGUACUACUAUGGCAUAUGACCCAGUCAGACACAAUAUAAUUUAUGUUAAUGUGUUUUCCUUCAAUAUCUGUACCUAACUGAACAAACACUGCAUAAAUUGUCACCCACAAGCUGCAGUCCGAAUUGGAAAGAAAGAUGUCUUCUGGGUAGUUGGUUUCUGAACUUAUUUUUCAACCAAAAUGCUGCAGUACCAAUUAGAAUUCUAUGCUUAGGUUAUUAAGAUAUUUAGUGUGGCACCUUUCACUGAUUUGGCAGCUUGUACUUUUUGGAUCAUAUAAAUUCAAUUCGGUUCAAUUUUUUUUCCAGCAGCCGUGCGUGCUAGCUUGCUGUUUGAUUAACCAGUUACUUAGUAGAGGUCAACUGGGCUAUAGAAUUCUGCACUCCAUAGUAUAGGAUAAUUGUCAUGGAUGCAUCUAUUCUGAAGUUAGUGAUCAGUAAUUAAGAUAGCAUCUCCAUAUUUUGCAGGCCCGGUUUUGUCGCUUUAUUUUUCAAUUAGUUCACUAGGACACACAUGCGUUCCACAAAGAUACUACAAUGUAACCUCUCCAUAUUUUCCAACCAGUCCCUUUGUGAUAUGCUAAUUUUCCCCCUGUUUUUAUGUUCUACCAUUAGUCUGCUAAGUAGGAGACAUGUUGACCGGUAAUGUUCAGGAAUUAUGAAACUGUUCAGGUAUAGUCGACAUACUUCAAGAGAAUAAGCAAAAGUCUAGGUUCUGCACCAUACGUCAAGGUCAGGGACACAAGAUUAUCACAUGCAUGUGCUGAACAAGGCUCCGAGGAAAUUGCCAAAGUGUUCGAAGUGUGUAGUGCUUGGUCACAGGAAGAAUGUGUGACUUACCGAUCAAUUUGAGCCGAACUUCCUUUAGCCCCGCUUUAUCAAAUGUAGCAAGAGUGUUUUGAAAUUCAGUUUCUCUACAUUUCAGUUCAUAAUUUUGUUCAUGUUCACCGGGUCAUUGGUGUGAUGACCGUUUGGGACUUAAUGAGAUAUUUUAUUCGAAUUGUCGGGACAUUUAGUUGAUACACUGCAUGGUUUGUUGCUGAUGUUUGUCAACGACGAGCGUGAAACAGGCCCGUUGCAUCAUAUGGACCGUGAAUUACAAAAUGCCAUGUGUUAUUUUUCCCGACAUGUUCAAUUUGAGUGGCAUGAUCAGUUCUUCCAGUUGCCGGGUGGGGGAGGUUCA
rnacentral:rRNA from 1 species